AUGCAGUUCUUUAUCUCUUUCAUAAUGCGUCUCUGGUGUCAGACUAAACCUGGAGCUUUUUUUUUUUUUUUUUUUUUUUUUUUUUUUUUUUUUUUUUUUUUUUUUUUUUUUUUUUUUUUUUUUUUUUUUUUUUUUUUUUUUUUUUUUUUUUUUUUUUUUUUUUUUUUUUUUUUUUUUUUUUUUUUUUUUUUUUUUUUUUUUUUUUUUUUUUUUUUUUUUUUUUUUUUUUUUUUUUUUUUUUUUUUUUUUUUUUUUUUUUUUUUUUUUUUUUUUUUUUUUUUUUUUUUUUUUUUUUUUUUUUUUUUUUUUUUUUUUUUUUUUUUUUUUUUUUUUUUUUUUUUUUUUUUUUUUUUUUUUUUUUUUUUUUUUUUUUUUUUUUUUUUUUUUUUUUUUUUUUUUUUUUUUUUUUUUUUUUUUUUUUUUUUUUUUUUUUUUUUUUUUUUUUUUUUUUUUUUUUUUUUUUUUUUUUUUUUUUUUUUUUUUUUUUUUUUUUUUUUUUUUUUUUUUUUUUUUUUUUUUUUUUUUUUUUUUUUUUUUUUUUUUUUUUUUUUUUUUUUUUUUUUUUUUUUUUUUUUUUUUUUUUUUUUUUUUUUUUUUUUUUUUUUUUUUUUUUUUUUUUUUUUUUUUUUUUUUUUUUUUUUUUUUUUUUUUUUUUUUUUUUUUUUUUUUUUUUUUUUUUUUUUUUUUUUUUUUUUUUUUUUUUUUUUUUUUUUUUUUUUUUUUUUUUUUUUUUUUUUUUUUUUUUUUUUUUUUUUUUUUUUUUUUUUUUUUUUUUUUUUUUUUUUUUUUUUUUUUUUUUUUUUUUUUUUUUUUUUUUUUUUUUUUUUUUUUUUUUUUUUUUUUUUUUUUUUUUUUUUUUUUUUUUUUUUUUUUUUUUUUUUUUUUUUUUUUUUUUUUUUUUUUUUUUUUUUUUUUUUUUUUUUUUUUUUUUUUUUUUUUUUUUUUUUUUUUUUUUUUUUUUUUUUUUUUUUUUUUUUUUUUUUUUUUUUUUUUUUUUUUUUUUUUUUUUUUUUUUUUUUUUUUUUUUUUUUUUUUUUUUUUUUUUUUUUUUUUUUUUUUUUUUUUUUUUUUUUUUUUUUUUUUUUUUUUUUUUUUUUUUUUUUUUUUUUUUUUUUUUUUUUUUUUUUUUUUUUUUUUUUUUUUUUUUUUUUUUUUUUUUUUUUUUUUUUUUUUUUUUUUUUUUUUUUUUUUUUUUUUUUUUUUUUUUUUUUUUUUUUUUUUUUUUUUUUUUUUUUUUUUUUUUUUUUUUUUUUUUUUUUUUUUUUUUUUUUUUUUUUUUUUUUUUUUUUUUUUUUUUUUUUUUUUUUUUUUUUUUUUUUUUUUUUUUUUUUUUUUUUUUUUUUUUUUUUUUUUUUUUUUUUUUUUUUUUUUUUUUUUUUUUUUUUUUUUUUUUUUUUUUUUUUUUUUUUUUUUUUUUUUUUUUUUUUUUUUUUUUUUUUUUUUUUUUUUUUUUUUUUUUUUUUUUUUUUUUUUUUUUUUUUUUUUUUUUUUUUUUUUUUUUUUUUUUUUUUUUUUUUUUUUUUUUUUUUUUUUUUUUUUUUUUUUUUUUUUUUUUUUUUUUUUUUUUUUUUUUUUUUUUUUUUUUUUUUUUUUUUUUUUUUUUUUUUUUUUUUUUUUUUUUUUUUUUUUUUUUUUUUUUUUUUUUUUUUUUUUUUUUUUUUUUUUUUUUUUUUUUUUUUUUUUUUUUUUUUUUUUUUUUUUUUUUUUUUUUUUUUUUUUUUUUUUUUUUUUUUUUUUUUUUUUUUUUUUUUUUUUUUUUUUUUUUUUUUUUUUUUUUUUUUUUUUUUUUUUUUUUUUUUUUUUUUUUUUUUUUUUUUUUUUUUUUUUUUUUUUUUUUUUUUUUUUUUUUUUUUUUUUUUUUUUUUUUUUUUUUUUUUUUUUUUUUUUUUUUUUUUUUUUUUUUUUUUUUUUUUUUUUUUUUUAAUAAUUGGUGCUGGGACAAUUGGGCAGUAUCUGGAAAAAAUUCUAGAAGGAUAA
ensembl:lncRNA